AUUCCAGCUCCAAUAGCGUAUACUAAAGUUGUUGCAGUUAAAAAGCUCGUAGUUGAAUUUCUGGUCUUGGACGGCGGUCUGCCUCAAACGAGGUACGCACCAUCUGUCCGGGUCCAUCCUCGGGGAAAACAUAUCUGUGAUUCAGUUCAUGGGUAUGGGAUCCUCGUCAUUUACUGUGAGCAAAAUAGGGUGUUCAAAGCAGGCUUAUGCCGUUGAAUACAUUAGCAUGGAAUAAUAAGAUAAGACCUUGGUCUAUUUUGUUGGUUUGCAUUCCAAGGUAAUGAUUAAUAGGGAUAGUCGGGGGCAUUCGUAUUCAAACGACAGAGGUGAAAUUCUUGGACCGUUUGAAGACGAACUAAGGCGAAAGCAUUUGCCAAGAAUGUUUUCAUCA
rnacentral:rRNA from 1 species